AAGAGGCAGAGAUGUUGGUUUCAAUUCAUUCCUAAAAGAUAAAGUGCAGUAGAUGGGCGUGGCUAAACAACAGUAUGGAGAAAAACAUGGAGGUGUUGAAAUACAGAAAGUGGUGGAUCAGGAGGGCCUGGUGUGAAACGGCAGUCGAGGGCAAGAAAAACACAGAUUUUAUCCAACACUACGAUUGUGUCCCUGCGCUUGGAUGUGGAUCAUUGGUUUGUAAAAGGCACACCAGAGGGAAGAUGAAGAUCAAGUCUCUUGACCUUGCUAAAUGGAUGCAAAUAUAUGUUUGCAAAACAGCAAUGCUUUAGAUUUUGAUGAUAGAAGCUGUAAGUCAUAUCAGCACCAGGAGGAAAAGCACCCUACUCCAACUUCAUUGAUUAAUAAAGAAAAAAUCACUGGGUUCCAAGGUAAAAGAGAAAUCCUUGAGGCAUCUAGUUGCACAUAGGAAAAUAAUGUCCUGUGGCUCAAUUCCUUUGAUUUUUAAAUAUGCACCUAUGCAAAACCCAGACUAACAUUUACUUUCAUUGGCUUCAUUGCUCUUAAUGUUCUGACUGUAACACUUGAUGUGUGUUGUUUAAAACCCAGCCUUGGGUUUGGAGGCAUACAGGUUAAAAUUCACUUCCAUGCAUUAUACAGAAAACCUCUCUGGUAAUAGAUCUAUUCAGGGGUCUAAACAUACAUUGCAUAGACAAGUGACAAAGAGCACAGAAGAUGAAGGAUUAAGUGAUGAUAUGAGCAGAAACUGAGCUCCAAAUUGGAGCUGUUAUAAAUUGAGAAAACUACAUAGCUCCAAGGUGUUUUAGGACUUGUAAGCUAUUAAUUCUUUACAUGAUGUUUUUCGUAAUAGUUACUUGGGUAGGUUGUAUUAAAAUAAAGCUGAGGGUUAACUGAAGCUAACAUUUUAUAGGUGCAUGUUUAAUUAAACUGUAUGUUUUGUCUGUAAUAAUAAAAUAUGAGACUCAUCUGAGUUAACAGAGUUUUACAGUUUGAAGGUCUGAACCAUCUCCAGCAUCUCUGUGCAGGGCUGUUUGGUGUAUGAGCCAUAACAGCCAUGCAGGAAAAGUGCUAUUCUCUGAACCUUUCCAUUUUUAGCCAGAAAGCUGUUCUGCUCAUCAUGCUGGUGCUCUAUUAAACAAGUAAAUAGAACAGCUUCCUGUUCUGGAAUGAAAUGAACUUAUGAACUCAAAAGGAAAUUCUCUUAAUCAUCAGAGAGCACUCAGCUUUGCAUGUGAUUUAAAUUUAAAAGCACCAGCACAGGAUAGUACUACAAAAACUAGUCCUUCAAGCCAGGCAGAAAGACAUCCCACAGCUUCCUGUUGAUGCUGGAGGAGAGGACACUUCUACAUAAGGCAGCAUUACUUGAUAAACCCUUACAAACCACCAGCACUGUUCUUACAGUGGUUGCUUCCAGUCUUGGUUGACAGUGAAAAAUCUUUCCUAUUUCUCCCUACUGCAACAGACUAGUGGGUGUUUGAUUUCAGGCAUAACCCCAGAAAAGCCUGAUUCAGUAUGUCCUGUAUGUCCCACUGCUUCAGCUUUGUCUACAGAGGAACUGAACUUGCUUGAUGUUUACUUUUAGACUAUGAUUUUACAAACUGAAUGUCCAGAACUUUGUAAGGAAAACUGAUGGACUAAUUGAUCAUUUCUCCCUUGCAAUAUCACAGCACUUGAACCUUAUUCUUUUUGAAAACUAAAAGGGCUUCAAUCUAGUUCCCACUCAAACCAGGGCAGAAACCCCUCCAGCAGGUUGGCUAAGGAGGUUAUCUCCAUUUGGGGAUUUUGCCAAAACAUCUGGAUUCAGCUCUGCAUGCAUUCCAGUGGCAUUGCUGUGUUUAAGGACAGACUGGGAAGUUGUGUGCAGUGUCGCUGUUGUGCUUGUCCUGUACACUGGAGGAGCUUGAGCUGGCAGACAUCUGCCAGAUCAUGUCUACCUAUUCUUUCUCAGGCAGAGAGAAAGGUUUAAAACCAAGGCAUCCUCUGGCUGGUAGUUGUUUUACAGGGAUGCCCGUGCUGUGCUUGCCCACACUGCAUGGCAGAGAUCUGGGAUGCACCAGGACAUCUCAGUGUUUAGAAGAGGCUGGAGUUUGGCCUUGUUUUGCUUGUGCAAAAAUGAAUCAGUGCUUCUGAGCAGAUCCAGCUGGCUGUCCAUCUAUCCUGGCAAAUUACUGUGAUGCCUCUCCCAAGCUCUGGCAACAGGAACUCUAUUAAACUUUUAAGAUAGAAUCCUACAUGGUCAUUUAGCCAAAGCUGUGUGUAUAAGGAAUGAUCUAGACAAAACUGAAACAGAUCUGCUGGAACUGGGCGCAAAAUUUCUUUGUAGUACUUUAUUGUCCAUGAAAAUUCAGAAAUAUUUUCAUGUCCGUGUCUGUUGAGGUCCAAGAUGAUUUAUAGAGAAAAGUGAUCUGAAAUGAUAUAAUCUAAUUUUCUCAAAAGUGUUUGCUGUAUUUUGGCUGUUCUUUGAUUGAGCUGGAAGAG